CUACCCAUAGCUCAGUUGGUUAGAGCACCACCUUGACAUGGUGGGGGUCGGUGGUUCGAGUCCACUCGGACGCACCA
rnacentral:tRNA from 1 species